GGCAGAAGCAGCUUCCAAAAUCGUCCUGGCCUCUGUCCCUGGAUCGGGAAGCUCACUUGGGGCCUUGCCGUAUGUAUUUUCCUUUGUGGGAGAUGCGCCUGAAGCUAGCAGUAACCUUACAACUGCAGCAUGCUCGCCUCUUGCAGCAUGAUGAAGAGGAGUGUCACCUUCCGCAUCAACCGAUUCUAGCAUCCUCUUCACGCACUCUCUGUCAUUAGCACUGUUUAAAAGGAGUUGAACAAUCUCUACAAAACCCCCUGCACAAGCAUCAU
rnacentral:misc_RNA from 1 species